GACGAACGCUGGCGGCGUGCUUAACACAUGCAAGUCGAGCGGUAAGGCCCUUUCGGGGGUACGCGAGCGGCGAACGGGUGAGUAACACGUGGGUGACCUGCCCUCAGCUCUGGGAUAAGCCUGGGAAACUGGGUCUAAUACUGGAUAUGACUCCACGGUGCAUGUCGUGGGGUGGAAAGCCUUGUGCGGCUGAGGAUGGGCCCGCGGCCUAUCAGCUUGUUGGUGGGGUGAUGGCCUACCAAGGCGACGACGGGUAGCCGGCCUGAGAGGGCGACCGGCCACACUGGGACUGAGACACGGCCCAGACUCCUACGGGAGGCAGCAGUGGGGAAUCUUGCGCAAUGGGCGAAAGCCUGACGCAGCGACGCCGCGUGAGGGAUGACGGCCUGG
rnacentral:rRNA from 1 species